UUUUUCUAGCAAUAGAAGAGAUGGCGACCGGCGCACGGGUGAGUAACACGUAUCCAACCUACCGAUAACUCUGGAAUAGCCUUUCGAAAGAAAGAUUAAUACCGGAUAGUAUACGAAUAUCGCAUGAUAUUUUUAUUAAAGAAUUUCGGUUAUCGAUGGGGAUGCGUUCCAUUAGUUUGUUGGCGGGGUAACGGCCCACCAAGACUACGAUGGAUAGGGGUUCUGAGAGGAAGGUCCCCCACAUUGGAACUGAGACACGGUCCAAACUCCUACGGGAGGCAGCAGUGAGGAAUAUUGGUCAAUGGACGUAAGUCUGAACCAGCCAAGUAGCGUGAAGGAUGACUGCCCUAUGGGUUGUAAACUUCUUUUAUAUGGGAAUAAAGUAUUCCACGUGUGGGAUUUUGUAUGUACCAUAUGAAUAAGGAUCGGCUAACUCCGUGCCAGCAGCCGCGGUAAUACGGAGGAUCCGAGCGUUAUCCGGAUUUAUUGGGUUUAAAGGGAGCGUAGGUGGAUUGUUAAGUCAGUUGUGAAAGUUUGCGGCUCAACCGUAAAAUUGCAGUUGAAACUGGUAGUCUUGAGUACAGUAGAGGUGGGCGGAAUUCGUGGUGUAGCGGUGAAAUGCUUAGAUAUCACGAAGAACUCCGAUUGCGAAGGCAGCUCACUAGACUGUCACUGACACUGAUGCUCGAAAGUGUGGGUAUCAAACAGGAUUAGAUACCCUGGUAGUCCACACAGUAAACGAUGAAUACUCGCUGUUUGCGAUAUACAGUAAGCGGCCAAGCGAAAGCAUUAAGUAUUC
rnacentral:rRNA from 1 species